CUUUCUUUGUCGCUCCAUUCGUGGUCACCACCACCACCACACCCGUUUCCCCGGAAACCCCACAGAACCCUGCAACCACCUCCGCGCGCCGCCGCUCGCCAUGGCUGCCGCCGCCGCCAGGGCAGGCGGCCGCCCGUGGCGCGUGAUCCCGCGGCCGGUCAUGGAGACCGUCCUCCACAACCACGCCCUCCACCCGCGCGUGCCGCAGCCGCUGCUCCUCCACGGCCCCCGGGGCGUCGGCAAGUCCACGCUCCUCCUCAACCGCCUCCUCCCUCAGUGGUCCGAGCCCCCGCACUACGCCGCCUUCGUCGACUUCCUCCACCCCUCCCCCAGUUCCCCUGCUCAUGCGCCCUGGUCUCUCCUCGCCGACACGCCCCCCUCCCUGCCCUCUCUCCGCCUCCGGCUCGAGUCCGCGCUGGAGGAACUCACCCGCGCCGCAGUACUCCGAGGUGCCGUCGGUUCCAAGGACGUGCUCGCCGCGCUCUCGCGGUCCCACGGCCUCCACACCGUGCUCUCUCGCCUCGCGGGCCCUGCCUCCCGGCGCGGCCAGGGCACUAACUCGGUUCCGGUGCUCUGGGCAAGGGCUGUCCUAGCUGCAACCUCCUCGGCCCGUGGUGACGACCCCACCUUCCGCAUUGGCGAGGGGGAGGCAACGAACUGCUCCAUGGAGGAGAGGGCGUACAUGCAGGAGGCCAUGGCGGCGCUGCGUGUGGCCAAGGAAGUUCUCGGGAUGCAAGAGGGAUGGAGGAAGGAGGCGGUGCGGGAGAUGAAUAGGACAGGCCGGUUCUCCCGUCCACUGGCCAAUUCGGCCACAGACUGGCCAUGCCUCUUGCUGGAUGUGUUGUCAGGCGCAGCCGAGGAGGAUUUUUUCCAGCCAAAGCUGGUGCUGAACAACGUUGAUGCCCUGAGGAAGGCGACAUGCGAGGACGAUACAAUGGUGCCCGCAGCAGUGUACCAUGACAGCUUCAUUUGGAGGGUGAUAGCACUCGGUGCUAAUGAACAGUGCUUACCAGUCAUCAUGUCCACCUCAGAUGGAUACUAUUCUUCCCAAGCAUUCGUCGAUUUUGGUUUUCCUAAUAUCUUCAUUUCUCGUGAGACGUUUGGUUGGACACCACAAGAAGCUAAGCUGCAUAUGGUUUCUGAGUUCUUCAGUGAACAGGAGUGGAAAGUCGUUGAUGAGCUUCUUGGACCAAACCCACGACAAUUAUGUGAGAUAUAUAUGCUAAAGCAAAAGGCGAAUGGCCCAGAGGUUUUGCAUGACUCAAACAUUGAGGAAAUUAUUGACACAUACCUGGCACACUUGCAAGUAUCUGUUGUGAAUCCCGCAAUGCAAACAGCAUUAAGUAUGGUGCAGAAGUUUGCUUCUGAUGUACGCGAGGGUAAAGUACCAGAGAACAGAUUGUCUUUUGGCGCGCCUUGGAGACAUCCACCUCGGGCUGACAAUCCUGACAUGUGCUACAAGUGGGCAAAGAUUCAACUGAUGGAUUUUGUCCAGUCUUAUGUAAACACAGAAUUUGGGUUGAAUUACCUAGCAGAUGAUAGCCUGGAAAUAUUGGAUGAUCCUGCAGCAGUCGCCAUGAUGGAGGUUGGCUUACUUUAUCAACAGAGAGAUCCAUCCUUUGUGCGACCAAUCACACGUGGGAUUCAGCGUUGUCUUGCUAGAUGGCUUGUUCAGCAGAGACUAGAGUUGACCCUUCAAGAAUCAAUAUCAUUCUCAUGGCAACGUGUAAUUCGUGGGCGAAGCUAUCGACACUUGAUGAAGGAAGUCGGCUACAAGUAACAAGUUUAUGCCAAGAAAAAACAGGUUAAUUUCAUAAUGUGGAACUGACGUGUGAUUUUGAUGGACUUAUAUAAUAUUCAUAUAAGAACGUUUGAAGCAUAUAUGAUUUUGCGAUCACUCACAUGCACAUCGUUAAUUUGCCAAUGCCGUCCAAGUGUGAUGUCGACGAUGAAGCCAAUUUUUAGGCCCAUCAUUUCAACUAGCUCCGUAGAUCCUUAAGUUUGGAAGCUUGUGGUGUUCCAAUCAGAAUGUGGUCCUGCUAAGCCAAUGGAGAGCAUCCAACUGACGGCUGAGGAAUUUUGCAGGUCGCCGGAGGUGGACAUCUAUUUUAACUAGGAGAUCAAUCAUAGUGGCACUGUGGUUCUUUUAGGUUUAUAUUCAUACAUCGUUCUGGAUGAAGAUUGCCGGCUUUCCAUGUCACGAACUGGGAAUCUCGCCCAAGUGGGACCGGAAGUCGACACGAAACCCGCUCUGUCUUGGACGUACGAUGGCAAUAGCAAAAGAUAGCACUAUUACAAUUUUUGGGGGGCAUGUUUCUGUAACUAAAUAUAUGAUCGAAUUCUGCGCCAGUUCAUGAUCUGACUUGCUCAUACGCGCAUGAUACUACUUUCACUCAUAGCGUAGUGGAGUAGAAUGAGCAUGUGCGCUGUGUCGUGUCAUGUGGAACUGGCUGGUCUGCUGAAUGUAUGUUUGUUACAGUAAUUCUUUCGGAAUAAGAGGGCGGCCCUUGACUUGAUUCCCAA